CUGGCUUACCCAGCCCCAAAGGACCCCACUCCCGGGGGUCUGGGGACCCUGAAGGCUCUUGUCUGACCCCUCUCCCCACCUGUAUUUCCUGGCUGGCCUUGCGUGCCUCUGUGUUUAGAAGAACCGACGAGUUUAUUAGAGAAGGAAAGACUGCACUGUGUGACCUUGAAUAAGACAGUUCGCCCGUGCCUCAGUUUCCCUGACUUUCACGCAAGGAUCACCACGGUUUCCUCUGUCAAGUUCCUGAGAUGGCAGGGGGGAUUUUUGUUCUCCCAGCACCUGCGGCUGUUGAGACCAGAGAAGCUGGUGGUCGACCACAGCCUGGGGUAUUAGUUCACCCCUAGCUUCUCCCCAGCGAGACCCCAGGGCCCUUGGGCACAGGGGAUUAA
rnacentral:lncRNA from 10 species